GACGAACGCUGGCGGCGUGCUUAACACAUGCAAGUCGAACGGAAAGGCCCUGCUUGCAGGGUACUCGAGUGGCGAACGGGUGAGUAACACGUGGGUGAUCUGCCCUGCACUUCGGGAUAAGCCUGGGAAACUGGGUCUAAUACCGGAUAGGAGCCAUCUUUAGUGUGAUGGUUGGAAAGUUUUUUCGGUGUAGGAUGAGCUCGCGGCCUAUCAGCUUGUUGGUGGGGUAAUGGCCUACCAAGGCGGCGACGGGUAGCCGGCCUGAGAGGGUGGACGGCCACAUUGGGACUGGGAUUCGGCCCAGACUCCUACGGGAGGCAACAGGGGGGAAUAUUGCAAAAUGGGCGCAAGCCUGAUGCAGCGACGCCGCGUGGGGGAUGACGGCCUUCGGGUUGUAAACUCCUUUCGCUAGGGACGAAGCUUUUUGUGACGGUACCUAGAUAAGAAGCACCGGCUAACUACGUG
rnacentral:rRNA from 1 species